UGUUAAUACACUCGUGUGUAUUUCUUUUCGAAAACCAUUUUUUCCGCGAAAUUCACUUAGGUUUUUGGUGUGUACCAACACGUUUAUGAAAAAUAUUCUACUGUUCAUGUUUCAUUUGUCAUUUGAUAAGUGUUGGUCGUUCUCUUUCAAAUACCUGCGCUUGCACUAAAAACGACAACAAUAUGAGUGUACUUCAAUUGCGAUCAAGAACUGUACACAAUUUGGCAAAUGAUUACGUGGCACUUAACGUCGAAUCGUACAAUGAAAAAAAAAAAUCUAUUAAACUCUUCAGCCUAUGCAAUUGGGCGUUUUACAAAAAGAUGUCGUCCUUUAAGAAAUGGAUUUUGUGCAUGUUUUUAAUCAUAACGUUGGGCAUAUCAGUAUACUUUUUAUUGUUUCACAAAUAUAAAACUUUAAAUAUACGACCCCCCACUUAUGUUAAGCUAUAACAAGUAAAACAUACAUUGUCUAUUUUGUUUGAGAUUUUAUUUAAAAUAAACUUUAACACAAUUA